CAGGAACUUGCCAGAGAUGGCUUGGUGCUCGAAAGAGAGCCUGGACACAGGUGCUGCAUGGCCGUCGUCAGCUCGUGUCGUGAGAUGUUGGGUUAAGUCCCGCAACGAGCGCAGCCCUUGUCAUUAGUUGUUACGAAAGGGCACUCUAAUGAGACUGCCGGUGACAAACCGGAGGAAGGUGGGGAUGACGUCAGGUCCUCAUGGCCCUUAUGGGUAGGGCUACACACGUCAUACAAUGGCCGGUACAGAGGGCUGCCAACCCGCGAGGGGGAGCCAAUCCCAGAAAACCGGUCGUAGUCCGGAUCGUAGUCUGCAACUCGACUGCGUGAAGUCGGAAUCGCUAGUAAUCGCGGAUCAGCUUGCCGCGGUGAAUACGUUCCCGGGUCUUGUACACACCGCCCGUCACACCAUGGGA
rnacentral:rRNA from 1 species